CGUGGUUUAACCGUUGCGCGGACGGACGUUUGGGUUGGAACAAGCGAGCCGUGGCCCAGAAAUGUGCGCGCACAUCUGAUCCGUGGUCUAGGGUGUUGCCUUUUUCCCGUGUCUUCUCCAUUUUGUGGGUUGGAGACUGAGCGGUGGAGGCGACGAGCGGCGGCGGCCAGAAGCCAUGGAAUUCUUGAUGCAGCCGAUACGCGGAUCUACUUUCCUUGAGGAGGUUGGCGAGAGUACACUGCCGCCUCCCGUGGCAGCAGUUGGUGUGGUGGAGCGGGCACGGUCGCCGUUCCAUAAGGAGGCGACGGAUAAACAAGUUCUGCAAGCGGGUGUGCUGGAGCAGGCACCGCCAUUGGGCGAACCCAUGGCAGCGGAUCUGGGUGCAGGGGACGUGGUGCCGGCGGGUGCGAGCGGUGGAAGAAAGGAGAGAGAGCUCCCCCGCGGGCUCGGAGCUGUCAACUGGGGAGAUUAACCCUCGGGCUCCUAGAUGGAACAAAAGGCUAAGGAUUGGAGCUGCAGCACCUAGCAGAACACCUUGUCCCAAUCGCAUUAGUGCAUUUGAGAAGGUUGUUAGGGGUUUUGCUGACCACCCAACUGAGAAUGUGAUCGUCCCGGUUAUUGGAAGUUUGGAACUACAUUUGACUCAGUUGGCGAGGCGUACGAUUUCUACAACUUGUACUCGUGGGAGAAGGGCUUUGGUAUUCGAUACGGCAAGAGCCGCCUGAAUGUGGAGAGGAUAAAGUGCAUGCAAGAAAUAGUUUGUGGGUGCUCGACAAUUAAACCACCAAGAAAUGCGUUACAUUCUCAAGGUCAACGCGGUGGGACACCUCUUAGUACUUCAACAUCUAAAUUUGUGCCACAAGUUCUCUGAUGUCUAGCGUUUUCUCAAGGAUGCCAAGUAUCCCAAGAUCUUUUGCAAGAUCACAGGCUCUUUGGUCGCAUAUAGAGGGUUCAGGAGGUGAAGCAAUUUUGGGAGGUACUUUGUGAGGAAUUGGAGUGGUUUGUCUGAGCAGCUGCAAUGCAUAAUCCGAUAAGUGAAAAACAAGGCUAAUAAUGGGGGAGCUAGCAGCAGACAUGUAUACCCAAGAUGACACCGUGGACAUCAAGGGCAAACUGGCCCUCAAGAACACCGCCAACUAGCGGUUUGACAUCCUCUGAUGCAGCCCGUACAAUCAAGUCCAGGCAACGGUAUCCGGUCAGCAACAGUUGCAAAUGCCGGCAUUAAGCGUGGAUGGCAAGAUCUGUGCGCCGGAUGGCAUGGUGGAUCUUGGACGGCAAGGUUCACCGCCGGCGUCGGAGCAGUCGGUAGUCGAGAUGGACCCUAAAGCUCCUAGGUAGAUGUGAAGGUAUGUCGAUUUUCAGUGCUACAAAAUCUGGAAGUAGUGGCUGAAAUCUGAACUGAUGACUAUAGAUCUAAUUUUUUUAUGUGAGGAUUCUCAAUGUAUCACUCCUAGCAGUUGAUGAAUAAACAUUUUAUCAAGUAUUUCCAUCUUCGAAAUUCA